AGAUUGAACGCUAGUCGGCAUGCCUAACACAUGCAAGUCGAACGGUAACGAGGCCCUUCGGGGUGCUGACGAGUGGCGGACGGGUGAGUAAUGCGUAGGAAUCUACCCACGAGUGGGGGAUAGCCCGGAGAAAUCCGGAUUAAUACCGCUAUAUGCCCUACGGGGUAAAGCGGGGGAGUCGUAAGACCUCGCGCUGGUGGAUGAGCCUACGUCCGAUUAGUUAGUUGGUGGGGUAAAGGCCUACCGAAGGUUACGUAUCGGUAGCUGGUCUGAGAGGACGACCAAGCCACUACGUGGGACGUGAGACACGGCCCAGACUCCUACGGGAGGCAGC
rnacentral:rRNA from 1 species